UACGUAGGGGGCAAGCGUUGGUCCGGAAUCAUUGGGCGUAAAGAGCGUGUAGGCGGCCAGAUAAGUCCGCUGUGAAAUCUCGAGGCUCAACUUCGAGCUGUCGGUGGAAACUGUCUGGCUAGAGUCCGGAAGAGGAGAAUGGAAUUCCUGGUGUAGCGGUGAAAUGCGCAGAUAUCAGGAGGAACACCAAUGGCGAAGGCAGCUCGCUGGGACGGUACUGACGCUGAGACGCGAAAGCGUGGGGAGCGAACAGG
rnacentral:rRNA from 1 species